AUUGAACGCUGGCGGCGUGCCUAACACAUGCAAGUCGAGCGGUAACAGGUGUAGCAAUACAUGCUGACGAGCGGCGGACGGGUGAGUAACGCUUGGGAAUCUGCCUAUUAGUGGGGGACAACCCGGGGAAACUCGGGCUAAUACCGCAUACGCACUACGGUGGAAAGCCGGGGACCGCAAGGCCUGGCGCUAACAGAUGAGCCCAAGUCGGAUUAGCUAGUUGGUAGGGUAACGGCCACCAAGGCGACGAUCCGUAACUGGUCUGAGAGGACGACCAGUCACACCGGAACUGAGACACGGUCCGGACUCCUACGGGAGGCAGCAGUGGGGAAUAUUGGACAAUGGCGAAAGCCUGAUCCAGCGACGCCGCGUGGGUGAAGAAGGCCUGCGGGUUGUAAGCCCUUUCAGUGGGGAAGAAAAGCCUCGAGCUACACCUCGGGGUCUUGACGUAACCCCAUAGAAGAAGCACCGGCUAACUCUGUGCCAGCAGCCGCCGUAAG
rnacentral:rRNA from 1 species